rnacentral:rRNA from 1 species
GAUCAGGCUCAGGACGAACGCUGGCGGCGUGCCUAACACAUGCAAGUCGAACGGAACUGUUUUGAAAGAUUUCUUCGGAAUGAAUUUGAUUUAGUUUAGUGGCGGACGGGUGAGUAACGCGUGAGUAACCUGCCUUCAAGAGGGGGAUAACAUUCUGAAAAGAAUGCUAAUACCGCAUGAUAUAUCGGAACCACAUGGUUUUGAUAUCAAAGAUUUUAUCGCUUGAAGAUGGACUCGCGUCCGAUUAG